ensembl:lncRNA
GUGGUCUGCAGUCACGACAACGGACAGCAGCUGGACUGAUGCCACAUUGUUGGCAGAUCUGAGUUGUCACAUUUUGUUGUGCUACCAUGGUAUUCACCAGACAGGCUCUUUCUUUCUCCCACCUCUCUGAGAGGAGACUUUUUCGAGUAGACCAGUCUGAAGAGGCCCGUGGUGGUGCUGGUGCCGUUUCCUGAUCAUCCAAGUCAUCACCCUGUUGAUGGCUGGUGGAUGGUGCUGCCUCCUGUUCUCCCGACAUCUUAUUAAUGAAAUCAUCCAAGCUCUGGAGUUCAUAAUUUAAUUCAGAAUGUUCAACAAGCUCAUCAAGCUCAUCAAGGACCUGUUCGAAAUUGGAAUGGUCACUCAUGACGAACAAGGACAAACAAAACAACACUAAAGGGAUAGGGGGAAGAGCAAAUGAGCAAGAACCACGGAGAACUAGACGGACUAACAACAAUUAAAUAGACAAACGUGGCUCUUAAAAGUGCCUUUGUUUUUGCUUUUUAAUGAAACAGAAGUUUUAAAAUAAAUGAUGAAGGAACAAGGGGACCUGUUGAGAGAAGGGAAAGAUAAUACAUUCAGAUUUGAAGAUCAUGCUACAUACAAAUACAUAUAUACUGAAAAACUGAAAGGUUUAAGAACUUGAGAAAAUGUUGGUCAAGUUUGCCCAUGGUUUGGGAUGUGGCGGGGAGGUCUGUGGGUGCUUAUAGUAUUAGGCCAGAAUACUGUAGGGCUGGGUGUUGCCUGAAAACUCACAAUACAAUAGCUCAAAAGGGAUGGACUGAUCUUUACAAUCAUGGCUGAUAUUGAUACCAACCAUUCAAAAUGCCAGUUUGGCUGAUAAUCAGUGCCAUUUUUUUAAAUAUGUUUUAUAAGUUAUUAAUUCUACUUUUGUACUAACAAGGAAAAAUAUUUCUUUAACUGGUUUAUUUCCUUUUCCCUGUGAUAAUUUUACUGUAUAUAAAUGGGCACAAAACACUUGGCAAAGAAAGAGCAACGACAUACAACCACAAGAAGAAUCCCAACGCAGAAAUACAUUAUAGCUGCUGUAACACGUUAUGUCUCAUUAUGAAAAUCUUACAUUCUCUUAUGAUUGUACCUUACAUGAUUAUAUGCGACAAAAAAUUAACUUGAAUUCAAUUAGCUAACUUUGCUAGCCUGCACAUUUGGUACAGAAAGCCAUUUUUUUUAGAAUGUUUUCCAUUAUUUAUCGUCAUAAGAUAUGGCCACCUUAAAAAAUGUAAAGUUCCUAAACACAACUUCUUGUCCUGAUUCAACAGUUUUGAUGUGUAAAUGUAAGAAUAGUAUCGAUCUUUAUUAAUUAAGCCUUCUAACAUUACUUUACUUACCGAGUGGAAAAUCGCAAUGGACCUUGGGAUCGCCCAUACGGUGACGUCAGCGUUAUUAAUUUAGAGGAUUUAAUAAUAAUAAUAAUAAUAAUAAUAAAAAGAUUAAUUGAACACAAUCGUAGCAUUUAUAUGCAUUUAUUAAAAUCAACAAACCUCUGAUAAAAAUACGUUAUCCAGCAUGCUAUAGUUAAAGCGGUGUCCUACCAAUGAUAAGAAAACGCUUAAACUGCUUACUUGCACGCGCCUUGGAGCGUUGUUAAACUCACCUUUUAAUGCUGUUUUACCUGCAGUCGAGCGUUGCUUUGGUCAAACUCACCUCUGAAUGCCGUUUUCCCUGCAGGUGAGCGUUGUUAAACUCAUCUCUGAAUGCCGUUUUCCCUGCAGGUGAGCAUUGUUAAACUCACCGCUGAUGAACGCGCUAAACCUUUGCGGGCGCUUUGAUAUCAGAUUGCGAGGCUUUUUAAACAUCAAAAACCCGCCAUUUGGGGGCCGCCAUUUGACUCACCUUGGCAUAGAUCAUUUUUUGUAACCUGUUCCUUUUUAUUUUUAUUUAUUGUAGUCUAGAUCCAUACGAGGCAGACAAUGGGUUGUGGUGUGCUGAAACAAGACGUCAAAUUUCAACGCUGUUUAGUUCCAUAGAAGUCUAUCGGACUACCCCCCACGUUGAAAAAAGACGUCAAAGGUAUACCCAGUGCGUCAAAAAAGUGACGCCAGAUCCCUUGACCAUGCGUCAGACAUUUGACGAGUAGCGAGUGAGACUGUGUUGGGCUUCCACCUUACUCGGGUCUGUGGAGAUACCAUGGAUAUUCACCACAUGCCCAAGAAAAGUCAACUCCUGAAGACAAAACCUGCUCUUCUU